CGGGCUGCCCACACGUCGCCACCGUUCAGCUCUGUGCGACUCUUUCUGAAAAUUUAUAUUUAUGCGUGUGAGCUUGUUAAUAUGAGAGAAAGCUAUUAUCUCUUCGUUGGUGGAUGGCAUCGGAUGUGAGGUCCAAAUAAAUAGUGUGUGCAUCGGUCUCCCAUUUUGCUUCUCUCUACUCAACGCAUGAAGGGCUUCUCUCGACUCUGCAUUCCUUUGCGUCUCUCUCUAGCAGACGACGAUUCUCUUUCUCUGAGAAACUGCAACUGUUCCAGGUUCUUCCUCUUCCUUUUUUCUUUAAGUGUUCACUGUAGAAGGGGUUCUUGCACAGAGUUCUUUCGAAGAAAAUUUGAUUCGCUUUCAGAUUGGGGGUUUUACCAAUUUUUAUAUAGAUUUUUUGUUCGAAAUCAUGGUUCUUUUUUAAAUUAGCAUUCUACAAAAAUAAGCUCUGAUUAUUUGUGCCACUUUUAGAGUUGAUUUGUACUUCUUGUUGCAGAAUUUCCAGCAUAAAUUUAGAUCUUUUUAUUAUUAAGAAAUAAGUUAUUCUAUAGUAUUUGAAGCAUUCCUUUGUAAUGAAGUUAGGGUUUCUCUAUGAGAUUUGAUUUUACUAUGUUUGAAAUAGGGUUUCUUAAUGAAAGAAGAAUAGCUCUAAAAAAUCUGGGUUUUCCCUCUGAAAUCGUAUGAAUUACAAUAUGUUUUCUUGUUUUCGGGAAUUUAUGAAAAUAUGUCUCCUUUUCUUGUUCCCAUAAUCACAAGGCAAAUGUCUAGAAUGUGUUUGGAGUUAUUAAUGUUCCAAAACACACACAAAUAGUGACACCUUUGGGAUAUUUCUAUGGAGACGUAUCCCAAUGCAUUGAAUUUUUAGAUUCUUUUUACAUUCCUAUUUCCUUAUGAUAAUCUCAAAUGAGUUUUCCUUAAAAAUAGUAGAAAAAAAAAAACGCUAAUAUUAUGGUUUUAAUUGGGAAACCAAGAUCAUCGAAACAUAUACAUGAGAAAAGUAAUAUUUCCAAUACAUUAUUAGAGAACUUAUCACAAUGAAUUUCCAUCAGAAAAGAAUAAUAAGAAUCUCUGCGAGAUUGAAUUAUACUAUCUCAAUUGAAUAGAAUAAUAAGGUAUAAAACAAUCAUAAGUAUUUUGAGCAAUGCUUGCAUAUCUGAGUUCGUAAAAGGGUAUGGAACAAGGCCCACAUAUCCUAUGAACAAAAGGGUAUAGAAUAAAGCUUGCAUAUUUCAUCGAGAUUGACUAAAAUAAUAUGAACAAAACUUGUUAUAAAGCUUUGGCCAUAAAACUCUUUGUGAAAUCAAUGGAAUUUUAAGGUUUGAAAUUUAACUGAAUUAUAGUCCAAGCAUAUUUGUCGCAGCAUGGAAAAUUUUCAAGGCCAUUAAACCUUGGUAGAGAUACGCUAUAAGAUAGUUUCGAUGCGAAAUAAAAUAACAAAUGCACGAUAGGCACUGCAUGUUGGUCAUUCAAGGAUUUUCCAUAUAUCGUUAUAAACGCAAACAUAAAGGGUACCACCAUAUACUCUGACAAAUAAAGGAAAUUUUAUAUACCUGGUAUACACUCCCAUCUACAAACAACGGACUCCCUAUAAAUACAGAGAAUCUGAGAAGUCCUGGUCAUACUAAAUUUACAAUAUUUAUGUAAACAUAUUAAUCUGAAUUAUUUAUUCUUAUUUCUUUGGGUCAUUAUGAAUGUAAUUUUCUUGAUGACUGAGAUUGCUUUCCUCUAUUGACCAACACAAUAUGUCGUAAUGACAUAUUUAUAAUCUUUGAUUGCACCUGAAAAGCACAUUUCUUCAGGUCUCCAAAGAGGACUACAUCUUUAUAUGUGAUUGGUCUAGAAACCAAUUGAUUGCAACAACAAAUUGAAAAAGUUUGAAUGGUUAUUGGCUUGAGACUGUACUUUAUUUGUAUUCAUUGGCAAUGCCUUCUUCAUUGUAAUCCUUUGUUACCAUAGGAGGAUUAGACCUUUGCAAUGAACUAUUUCACUCGAACUUGACCCCGGAUAUUCAAUCUAUGGUAAUAUUUAAUUGGACAAGGAAAGGUGAAUUCCUAUGUGUCACUUUUUCCUUGAUACAAUUUUCUUAUAACACAUUUGAAGUUAGUAUUCUCAUUUAUUUUAUUAUAUUUCAAUUUUCAAAUGAUCAUCGAGAAUAAUUUAAUGAAUUUUUCUUUUGCCAUCUACAAAAUCUUAUUCUCUCUCUCUCACACACACACACGGAGACCAUCAACCUCAUCAUAAUCUUGGUAAGCAUCUCUCUCUCUUAUGCUGUAAUCUGAAUUUUUUUUUUUUUGGAUCAUUGUUCUUGAUGAAUAAGAUUUCUUUUCUCUAUUGGCGAACAUAAUAUGUUGCAAUGACAUUUGGAACCUCUGAUUGCACCUGAAAAGCACAUUUCCUCAGAUCUCCAAAGAAUACUAGAUCUUUAUACGUGAUUGUCUUAGAAACCAAUUCAUUGCAACCAAAAAUGCAAAUGGUUUUAACGGUGAUUGGCUUGACUAGUGUGGUUUAUUUGUAUUCAUUGUCAAUGUCUUCUUCAUUGUAGUUGCCAUUGGAGGAUUGGACCUCUCCAAUGAACUAUUUGAUUCGAACUUGAUCCUGGAUAUUGAAUGUAUACUAGUUUUCAAUUGGAGGAGGAAGGAUGAUUUCCCAUGUGUUGCUUUUAUGUAAACUCAAUUUCUUGAUGUACUGUGUUUAGCAAUCAUUGAUUUUUGACA